rnacentral:lncRNA from 1 species
CCUGCAAGGUGUUUUUUUCCCUGCUGGACGCUUAUGGUAACCGAACACAACAGAUCCUCUGCCUGUUAACCUGUCAUGCGCAAGAACUGCGCGGUUGAGGAGAUCAGUAUUCCAAUCAUUUGCUUUGAGCGAAGCGCAGAACAGCGUAGACUUGCAUCAACGCAGGCUGACAGUGAACAUCUAUGCACGUCAUCAAGGAUUCGGACAUUAAUUACGCACCUCUGGCUUUUCUGUCGUAAUUUAUGUUUUUUUAGUACAGAAUGGGGUGUAACUCCAGUACGCAGACCUCAGCACAAGAGGCAAGCAAACCAAGCUCAAAACCAAAGGAAAGUAACGGAGCAAGCACAACAGGCACAGCCAAUGAAAAUGGGGGCAUUCCAGAGGACAGUGAGACCCUCCCAGACCAAACUGCACCAGAGGCCGCGGCACAGCCAGCCAGUGAGAGCUCCAUAGCCCCAGCCACAGCAGAGCCCACAGGGAGCCCACAGGCAGAGGGCACUGAGGCUGCUGCCUCUGCUGCCUCCGCUGCCUCUGCCCCUGAGUCCUCCAGCCCCGCUCCAGCCUCCAGUGACUCCACAGCCCUGCCGGCAGCAUCUGAGGGUGAUGCCCCAGCAGAGGGCACCUCGAAUGAGGCUGCAGCUGCGUCUGGAUCCCCUGCCGAGGCCUCAGACAGCCCUGCUGAGUCAGCCCCCGAGCCAGCAGAGGGGACAACAGAAGAUGCUGCAUCAUCAGAGACCCCGGCUGAAUCCAACCCUGAAGCCCCAGCUCCCACCGAGGGGAACUAAGGGUGCCCCAGAGGGACACAUACCCACAAAACCCCAUGAUGCUCACCACAUUUCACAGUGUGCAAAAGCAAGACUGUAAAUCCACAGGGAACUUUAUUUAUAAAACCUUUAAAUUGGAGGCAGUUGAGCAAUAGCUUGUAACAGCUCAGGUACCAGCACACAAGGAGUCUGAUUACAGGAAGUUAUAUUUGAACCCCUUUUAUAUAGUCAUUUUAGUUUGAAAGUUAAAGUUGGUUAAAGUCACCUGGAACCAACCGUGCUUUUACAAUGGUCCCUACUGUGAGGGUCACGUCUACAAUAAUUCAGCAAUUGUCUGUUGCCAAGAUAGACAGACCAGUCUCAAAAGCUGGAGUCUAACAGAGUGACUGUGCCUUCAUUUCCUUCUGUUGGUGUGUGAGAAGAAUUUAUACUUUUGUAUAUACCAUAUUUCACCAGCACAAUAAGAUAAGAGAUUAUAUAAAUUACAUAGUAUAUAGCUUAAUGUCUUUGAAAUACAACUACUUUACUGUGAAAGGUUUGACUUUUUUUUUACGUAAAAGUCAAGACUUGGACUUAAUCGCCUUACACCUCUGUGUAUUUCACAAAUACACAGGCUAUAUAUGUAUUGUAUAAUCCACGACCAUUUAAAUGAUUGAAAGCCAAAGAAUUUGCAAAGAUUUAAAUUUUCUUUAUGCAGCCUCGUCCAUUUUACUGUAAUUUCCUGAAUCAGAAAUAAAAGGUCAACUGAAAAUUUGCCUUGUGAACCU